GAAUCUGCCUUCAGGUCUGGGACAACCACUGGAAACGGUGGCUAAUACCGGAUGUGCCGCAAGGUGAAAGGUUAACUGCCUGAAGAUGAGCUCGCGUCUGAUUAGCUAGUAGGUAGUGUAAUGGACUACCUAGGCGACGAUCAGUAGCUGGUCUGAGAGGACGAUCAGCCACACUGGGACUGAGACACGGCCCAGACUCCUACGGGAGGCAGCAGUGGGGAAUUUUCCGCAAUGGGCGAAAGCCUGACGGAGCAAUACCGCGUGAGGGAGGAAGGCUCUUGGGUCGUAAACCUCUUUUCUCAGGGAAGAACAAAAUGACGGUACCUGAGGAAUAAGCAUCGGCUAACUCCGUGCCAGCAGCCGCGGUAAUACGGAGGAUGCAAGCGUUAUCCGGAAUGAUUGGGCGUAAAGCGUCCGCAGGUGGCUAUGUAAGUCUGCUGUUAAAGAGUCUAGCUCAACUAGAUAAGAGCAGUGGAAACUACAUGGCUAGAGUGCGUUCGGGGCAGAGGGAAUUCCUGGUGUAGCGGUGAAAUGCGUAGAGAUCAGGAAGAACACCGGUGGCGAAGGCGCUCUGCUAGGCCGCAACU
rnacentral:rRNA from 1 species